UACGUAGGUGGCAAGCGUUGUCCGGAUUUAUUGGGUUUAAAGGGUGCGUAGGCGGCUUUGUAAGUCAGUGGUGAAAUAUGGCAGCUCAACUGUCAAGGUGCCAUUGAUACUGCGGAGCUUGAGUACAGAUGAGGUAGGCGGAAUUGACGGUGUAGCGGUGAAAUGCUUAGAUAUCGUCAAGAACACCUAUAGCGAAGGCAGCUUACUAGGCUGUAACUGACGCUGAGGCACGAAAAGUGUGGGGGAUCAAAACAGGG
rnacentral:rRNA from 1 species